AAACUAGUUUUCAAUAGUCGGAAACUUCAGAAAUGUUGUUGUAUUGGUGGAUGAUAUAAGAUUUCAUUAUUUCCUGAUUAUUUUGGAGCUAUUUCCCUAUUGGAACAACCAGUCUUCAACAUGUCGUCCAUAAGAUCAAUUGCAAGACAUUUGAAGCCCGGUCUGAGGGUUCUAGGCUUCAAUAAAGGAGUGCUGGGUUCGGUUAGAAAUGCGGCACAUUUCACAUAUUUUCCAGAUACCGUUUCAGAAGCUCAAGGGGAGACCACUCGGAUGAACCUGUUCCAGUCAGUGAACAGUGCCCUGGACACGGCUCUAGCCACAGACAGCACCGCGGUCAUCUUCGGAGAGGACGUCGGCUUCGGCGGCGUGUUCCGCUGCACCAUCGGCCUGCAGGACAAACACGGCAAGGACCGGGUGUUCAACACGCCGCUCUGUGAGCAAGGUAUCGCCGCGUUCGGCAUCGGUCUGGCGGCCGCCGGCGCCACGGCCAUCGCCGAGAUUCAGUUUGCCGACUACAUCUUCCCCGCCUUCGAUCAGAUAGUGAACGAGGCCGCCAAAUUCCGGUACCGCUCGGGUGGUCUGUUCAACUGCGGCAAGCUGACGAUCCGCGCCCCGUGCUCCGCCGUCGGUCACGGCGCGCUCUAUCACUCUCAGUCGCCCGAGGCGUUUUUCGCUCACGUGCCCGGCAUCAAGGUCGUUAUCCCCCGAGGGCCGAUAAAGGCCAAGGGCUUGCUGCUGGCCUGCAUCAGAGACCCGAACCCGUGCAUCUUCUUCGAGCCGAAGGUGCUCUAUCGUUCGGCAGUCGAGGAGGUGCCAGUGGCCGACUACACUGAGACCAUCGGAAGGGCAGACGUGCUCGUCGAAGGUGAUGACGUCACGCUGAUCGGCUGGGGUACCCAGGUGCACGUUCUGCGCGAGGUGGCCGAUUUGGCUGCCGAGAGACUCAAUGUGUCGUGCGAGGUCAUUGACCUUGUCUCAAUCCUGCCUUGGGACCGAGACACCGUCUUCAAGUCGGUGUGUAAAACGGGCCGAUGUCUGAUCUCGCACGAGGCCCCUUUGACCGGCGGCUUUGGAGCCGAGCUGGCAGCCUCCAUUCAGACGGACUGUUUCCUGAACCUGGAGGCGCCCGUGCAGCGGGUGACCGGUCACGACACGCCGUUCCCGCACGUGCAUGAGCCGUUCUACAUGCCGACCAAGUGGCGCUGUCUGGAGGCCGUUAAAAAGCUGGUCAAUUAUUAACGGGUCAUGGCAGGGGCGCACCCAGGGGCGCGGCUAGAAACGCCGACAGAGGCGCUGGCAGGGAGGGACAGGAACCGACUGAAGGGUUGAGAAGGAUGCGGUAGAUACGCAUUCGUUAAAUGCUGCCAGAAGAACUUAUGGACGUCGAGGACAUUCAAUCGUUGGGUUGUGAUGGAUGGUUUGACCUUGUGCAAUCAUGAAGGGGAGAAGUGGACUUGCGAUUCAGGAAUGCGGGAAAAAUUCGCCUUGAGGUGUUCGUGAAUCAGAUUUGAUGAGUUUCUUGCUGAUUGGUUGUGGACUCAAUCCAUUUUCUUUCCGCGACUGUGACACACUGAAGGUAAACCAUCUGAGGCGGCGCGUCCACCAACUGUACGUCCAAUCGCGAAUCCUUCAUUGAUUUGGUAGACUUCCCGCGAGUAAGGUCCAGACUGUGCAAAUGCCCUGCAGACAAGAAUUUACUGGGAACAGCAGUGAACGGAUCGCCAUCAUCCGCUAAGGGACCGUGUGUCGCUUAUAACGUGUUGCACCUUCCGGUCGCAAAGCUGGGAAUGACCGGGGUAUUAGUGUCGUUUGACCUUUUAUAGGUUUGCAUUGGCCAGUCUGUUGGCUCAGACUUCUGAAGCUUCUGGUAGGGACUUGAGGGUGGAGGGUAGGCAUCUCACUAAACGCUGUAGGACUCUUGGCGUUUGGUAGCUCAGUGAAGCAGAACUGCGUCCGAUGUGUAGAUCCAGUGCAAUAUUAUGUAUCGAGUAGUGACUCGGUUCAGUGUGACGUUAAAUAACCAGUGAACUGUGCGACGCGUUUUACCGAAAUGGUGUUAGAGUGAUGAGGUUUUUGACAUGUGUUUGUGCGUUCUGUACUUGAUCGUGUUGUGUGAGUGGGAUAGGGGGGCUGUGAGCUCAGCUACGAAUUGGUGGCGCAACGUUCACAGUUGUCCGCGGCGGCGGUAAAAAUACAGCAAGUACGAGCGGG